rnacentral:rRNA from 1 species
UACGUAGGGGGCAAGCGUUGUCCGGAUUUAUUGGGCGUAAAGAGCUCGUAGGUGGUUCGGUAAGUCGGAUGUGAAAUCUCCAGGCUCAACCUGGAGGGGUCAUUCGAUACUGCCGUGACUAGAGUUCGGUAGGGGAGUGUGGAAUUCCUGGUGGAGCGGUGAAAUGCGUAGAUAUCUGGAGGAACACCGGUGGCGAAGGCGGCAUCCUGGACCGGUAUUGACGCUGAGGCGCGAAAGCCAGGGGAGCAAACGGG